GAGCAGCACCGAACCUCAUUGAGACGGGCCGCCAUGGCCCUCCACAACCCACAGAAUAUUUUUGGUGAUUUCAGCCCUGAUGAAUUCAAUCAGUUUUUUGUGACUCCCUGCUCUUCAGUUGAGCUCCCUCCAUACAGUGGGACUCUAUGUAGCAUACAGGCUGAAGAUGAACUGCCAGAUGGACAAGAACAUCAGAGGAUCGAGUUUGGCGUAGACGAAGUCAUCGAACCUAGUGAGGGCCUGCCUAGAAACCCUAGCUACAGUAUUUCAAGCACCUUGAACCCCCAGGCACCUGAAUUUAUUCUUGGUUGUACGACGUCCAAAAAGACCCCUGAUGCUGUAGAAAAAGAGGAGACCUACAGCUCCAUUGACCAGUACCUGACCUCAGCGUUGGCUCUAGAAAGCAACUCUAACACAGAGGCCGAGGCCUUGGAGAACGACAGUGGUGCCAGUGGUCUUGGUCAAAGGGAGCGGAAAAAAAAGAAGAAGCGGCCCCCUGGGUACUACAGUUAUCUGAAGGAUGGUAGUGAGGACAGUGCUUCCCCAGCUGCCCUAGUCAACAGCCAUGCCACUUCAAUGGAAGUCAAAGAAGGGCUUGUUCCAGUGUCAGAGGAUCCCGUAGCCAUAAAGAUUGCAGAGUUAUUGGAGACUGUAACCCUAAUACAUAAGCCAGUGUCAUUGCAACCCUGUGGGCUGAUCAAUAAAGGAAACUGGUGCUACAUUAAUGCCACCCUGCAGGCAUUGGGGGCUUGCCCUCCGAUGUAUCACCUGAUGAAGUUCAUUCCUCGGUACUCAAAAGUGCAAAGGCCUUGCACAUCAACGCCCAUGAUAGAUAGCUUUUUUCGGCUCAUGAAUGAGUUUAUUAAUAUGCUAGUACCUCCCAAACCCUGCCAAGCUCUCGGGGAUAAGAUGGUGAGAGAUAUUCGCCCAGGAGCUGCCUUUGAACCCACGUACAUUUACAGACUCCUGACAGUCAUCAAGUCGAGCCUGUCUGAAAAGGGCCGACAGGAGGAUGCUGAAGAGUACCUAGGUUUCAUCCUCAAUGGACCCCAUGAGGAGAUGCUAAGCAUGAAGAAGCUCCUCUCACCUAUGCAUGAAAAGCACUCUGUUUCCAACGGGCCUGGAAGCUACUUGAUAGAGGCUGAGGAGCUGGAAGACACGGGAGAGGGCAGUGAGGACGAGUGGGAGCAAGUGGGUCCCAAGAACAAGACCUCCGUCAUCCGGCAGGUGGACUUCAUCCAGACACCCAUCACAGGAAUUUUCGGUGGACACAUCAGGUCUGUAGUUUACCAGCAGAGUUCUAAGGAGUCCGCCACUCUGCAGCCGUUUUUCACUCUGCAGUUGGAUAUACAGUCUGACAAGAUACGCACAGUCCAGGAUGCAUUGGAAAGCUUGGUUGUGAGAGAGUUUGUCCAAGGUUACACUACCAAAAUCAAGCAAGAGGUGGAAGUCAGCCACAGAGUGACUCUGGAGAAGCUUCCCCCUGUCCUCGUGCUGCACCUGAAGCGCUUUGUCUUUGAGAAGACAGGUGGAUGCCAGAAGCUGGUCAAGAACAUCGACUACCCCAUGGACUUGGAGAUCAGCAGAGAACUACUUUCUCCAGGCGUCAAAAAUAAAAAUUUUAAAUGCCACAGAACCUGUAGGCUGUUUGCAGUGGUCUACCAUCACGGCAACAGUGCUACAGGCGGCCACUACACUAUAGACGUCUUCCAGAUUGGGCUUAAUGGCUGCCUGCGAAUUGAUGACCAAACGGUCAAGGUUAUUAACCAGUACCAGGUGGUGAAACCGACUGCUGACCGCACAGCCUACCUCCUGUAUUACCGCCGUGUGGACCUGCUGUAA